AAUGAACGCUGGCGGCAGGCCUAACACAUGCAAGUCGAACGAGGUAGCAAUACCUAGUGGCGGACGGGUGAGUAACGCGUGGGAACGUGCCGCUUGGUACGGAAUAGCACUGGGAAACUGGGAGUAAUAACGCAUGUGGUCGAGAGACGAAAGAUUUAUCGGCACGGGAUCGGCCCGCGUUGGAUUAGGUAGUUGGUGGGGUAAUGGCCUACCAAGCCGACGAUCCAUAGCUGGUUUGAGAGGAUGAUCAGCCACACUGGGACUGAGACACGGCCCAGACUCCUACGGGAGGCAGCAGUGGGGAAUCUUGGACAAUGGGGGAAACCCUGAUCUAGCCAUGCCGCGUGAUCGAUGAAGGCCUUAGGGUUGUAAAGAUCUUUCAGUGGGGAAGAUAAUGACGGUACCCACAGAAGAAGCCCCGGCUAACUCCGUGCCAGCAGCCGCCGUAA
rnacentral:rRNA from 1 species